UCCAACUCCUGACCUCAUGAUCCCCCCGCCUCAGCCUCCCAAAGUGCUGGGAUUACAAGCGUGAGCCACCGCGACCCGCCAACACUCUUGACAACAGUGCUGUGCUAAGAACUUGGGGGACUUCAAAAAGUUCACCAGUUCCUGUGUCCAUGGGUGAAAAGAUUUUCUACAUCUUUCCUUGACUAGAAACAGAAGUCCUGAAACAAGAAUAUAACGUCAGGAGGCCAGAGGCUUUGUCCUGCCUAAUGUGUUAUUUCCACACUGAAUAAAAGCACCUGAGUCCUGCAUUUUAAAAAGGUUGUACAUCUAGCAAUACCUAACAAAAUAGGAAAUCAACUUGUAUACCAUCUGUUUGAAUCAGGCUUAAGUUGAAGAUAUCUGAAACUACUCUGGCUAUUUAAAGCAGAAAAGGAUUUAAUACAGGAAUUAAGUUCAUACAAAUUUAUUGGAAGGCCGGGAUAACAGGAUCCAGUACCUCAGAAGUAACCCACCCGGAGAAUUUCUACUUCUGUUGUAAUUAAGAAUCUGUAGUACUGUCACUGCAACCAUACGCUCUAGAAAUAUAUUGCUUUAGGUAUGCAACCCAUAGAUUAGAAAACUAUGUACUGUUGACUCCAGAGCCACAUUACAUCUGUUAUAUUGGCACAAGCAAAAAUGGAUGCCUGGAGGCCUUUCAAUAUUCAGAAAUUAAUUAUUGGGCACUGGGAUCUGUGAAAAUGCUGUUGUAGAAAAAUCCAGGGCCCCUGUGAUUAUGCUGACCAACAGAAACGGUAGACCUGUGGCUUUCAAACUACCCUCCUUUCAAAUAUCACGUUACUAUAUUUUAUUGUCCAAACCUAAACCACAUUCUGUGUUCAUCUGCAAAAGAGACUCAGAAAUGUGGAUUUUAGCUUAUUAGCAUCAAAAGUGUAGGAAAGCUUAGUAUUGAUGGUGGUGUGGACAGUGAGCACAAAUCCACCAGAACUCCCACUAUUCUUCUGUUUGUCCAUUUCCUGACCAUUCAUGCUUCUCUUCCUGUACAUACAUUUCCAAACAAUAUUAUCUACAACAAUCAAUUUUCACCCAAUCCAAUGCAAUGAUUCUCCCAUACAAAUAAAACCUACUUAUACUGUUCCCAAAAGAAGCCAAGCUUCUAUUAGUCAUAGACUCCUCUGGAUGACGUCAGUUCCUCUUCCAGUGCACUUAUCUUCCCGUCUACAUAUUUAAUAAAGUUAUCAAAAAACAACACAUACUAUGAAGUGGGAGAAUGGAAUAUAAAAAAGGAAAUAUGUCUACAUAGAAUAAAAUACAUAAAGAAAAAGGAAGUAAAUAUGGCAUUUGUUUAUCUGAAUGGUCAUAAGA
rnacentral:lncRNA from 1 species